rnacentral:rRNA from 1 species
GUGGGGAAUCUUAGACAAUGGGCGCAAGCCUGAUCUAGCCAUGCCGCGUGAGCGAUGAAGGCCUUAGGGUUGUAAAGCUCUUUCGCUGGGGAAGAUAAUGACUGUACCCAGUAAAGAAGCCCCGGCUAACUCCGUGCCAGCAGCCGCGGUAAUACGGAGGGGGCUAGCGUUGUUCGGAAUUACUGGGCGUAAAGCGCGCGUAGGCGGAUUGGAAAGUUGGGGGUGAAAUCCCGGGGCUCAACCUCGGAACUGCCUUCAAAACUCCCAGUCUUGAGUUCGAGAGAGGUGAGUGGAAUUCCGAGUGUAGAGGUGAAAUUCGUAGAUAUUCGGAGGAACACCAGUGGCGAAGGCGGCUCACUGGCUCGAUACUGACGCUGAGGUGCGAAAGCGUGGGGAGCAAACAGGAUUAGAUACCCCUGUAGUCC